UUUAAUGAGAGUUUGAUCCUGGCUCAGGACGAACGCUGGCGGCGUGCCUAAUACAUGCAAGUAGAACGCUGAGGUUUGGUGUUUACACUAGACUGAUGAGUUGCGAACGGGUGAGUAACGCGUAGGUAACCUGCCUCAUAGCGGGGGAUAACUAUUGGAAACGAUAGCUAAUACCGCAUAAGAGUAAUUAACACAUGUUGG
rnacentral:rRNA from 1 species